rnacentral:lncRNA from 1 species
AAAGUUUAGCUACUGCUACUUCAUUGUAAACGCGUGUGUCGAUUAGACUACCCGAUUUGCUUGAUUCAGAAUCCCAAAUUCAAGUGUAUCAGAUUCAUCUCUUGAGCAAGGUCUAUGCACUAUUUGCUUGUCCACUUGUUCUUGCUUGUUCUUCGAUUUUCUUGCAUGUUGAAGGUUGUUCGUGGCAUGGCAAGAACAGCAACAAAUUGGAGCCGGUGUAACUGUCGCUAAGGCGCAACACUCCUGUUGGUCGUUGUAGUCAAGCAGCACAACGUCGGAUCCACCCCAAAUCGAGUUA